rnacentral:pre_miRNA from 1 species
AGGCACCCUUCUGGGGCAAGACUUGCUUCAGUGGGGCUUUGGUGCUCACUGAGUCUGCCCCCUGAUUGUGUCCCU